rnacentral:rRNA from 1 species
UACGUAGGUGACAAGCGUUGUCCGGAUUUACUGGGCGUAAAGAGCGCGCAGGCGGUCGUUCAAGUCGAGUGUGAAAGCCCCCGGCUCAACUGGGGAGGGUCACUCGAUACUGAUCGACUCGAAGGCAGGAGAGGGAAGUGGAAUUCCCGGUGUAGUGGUGAAAUGCGUAGAUAUCGGGAGGAACACCAGUGGCGAAGGCGACUUCCUGGCCUGUUCUUGACGCUGAGGCGCGAAAGCUAAGGGAGCAAACGGG